UACGAGGGGGGCAAGCGUUGUUCGGAAUUAUUGGGCGUAAAGGGCGCGUAGGCGGUGCGGUAAGUCACCUGUGAAACCUCUAGGCUCAACCUAGAGCCUGCAGGCGAAACUACCUCGCUUGAGGGUCUGAGGGGAAACUGGAAUUCACGGUGUAGCGGUGAAAUGCGUAGAUAUCGUGGAGAACACCCGUGGCGAAGGCGGGUUUCUGGCAGACUUCUGACGCUGAGGUGCGAAAGCUAGGGGAGCGAACGGG
rnacentral:rRNA from 1 species